ACUAAGGACUUAAGUUAAACAAACUAAUAACCUUCAAAGUUAUAAUUAAAAGAUUAAUCUUUUAGGCCUUA
rnacentral:tRNA from 1 species